rnacentral:rRNA from 1 species
GAUGAACGCUGGCGGCGUGCCUAAUACAUGCAAGUCGAGCGAACAGACGAGGAGCUUGCUCCUCUGACGUUAGCGGCGGACGGGUGAGUAACACGUGGAUAACCUACCUAUAAGACUGGGAUAACUUCGGGAAACCGGAGCUAAUACCGGAUAAUAUAUUGAACCGCAUGGUUCAAUAGUGAAAGACGGGUUUGCUGUCACUUAUAGAUGGAUCCGCGCCGCAUUAGCUAGUUGGUAAGGUAACGGCUUACCAAGGCAACGAUGCGUAGCCGACCUGAGAGGGUGAUCGGCCACACUGGAACUGAGACACGGUCCAAACUCCUACGGGAGGCAGCAGUAGGGAAUCUUCCGCAAUGGGCGAAAGCUUGACGGAGCAACGCCGCGUGAGUGAUGAAGGUCUUCAGAUCGUAAAACUCUGUUAUUAGGGAAGAACAAAUGUGUAAGUAACUAUGCACGUCUUGACGGUACCUAAUCAGAAAGCCACGGCUAACUACGUG